AGAGUUUGAUCAUGGCUCAGAUUGAACGCUGGCGGCAUGCCUUACACAUGCAAGUCGAACGGCAGCACGAGAGCUUGCUCUUGGUGGCGAGUGGCGAACGGGUGAGUAAUAUAUCGGAACGUACCCUAGAGUGGGGGAUAACGUAGCGAAAGUUACGCUAAUACCGCAUACGAUCUACGGAUGAAAGUGGGGGAUCGCAAGACCUCAUGCUCAUGGAGCGGCCGAUAUCUGAUUAGCUAGUUGGUGGGGUAAAAGCUCACCAAGGCGACGAUCAGUAGCUGGUCUGAGAGGACGACCAGCCACACUGGAACUGAGACACGGUCCAGACUCCUACGGGAGGCAGCAGUGGGGAAUUUUGGACAAUGGGCGCAAGCCUGAUCCAGCAAUGCCGCGUGAGUGAAGAAGGCCUUCGGGUUGUAAAGCUCUUUUGUCAGGGAAGAAACGGUGGACUCUAAUACAGAUCACUAAUGACGGUACCUGAAGAAUAAGCACCGGCUAACUACGUGCCAGCAGCCGCGGUAAUACGUAGGGUGCAAGCGUUAAUCGGAAUUACUGGGCGUAAAGCGUGCGCAGGCGGUUGUGCAAGACAGAUGUGAAAUCCCCGGGCUCAACCUGGGAAUUGCAUUUGUGACUGCACGGCUAGAGUGUGUCAGAGGGGGGUAGAAUUCCACGUGUAGCAGUGAAAUGCGUAGAGAUGUGGAGGAAUACCGAUGGCGAAGGCAGCCCCCUGGGAUAACACUGACGCUCGUGCACGAAAGCGUGGGGAGCAAACAGGAUUAGAUACCCUGGUAGUCCACGCCCUAAACGAUGUCUACUAGUUGUCGGGUCUUAAUUGACUUGGUAACGCAGCUAACGCGUGAAGUAGACCGCCUGGGGAGUACGGUCGCAAGAUUAAAACUCAAAGGAAUUGACGGGGACCCGCACAAGCGGUGGAUGAUGUGGAUUAAUUCGAUGCAACGCGAAAAACCUUACCUACCCUUGACAUGUCUGGAAUCCUUGAGAGAUCAGGGAGUGCUCGAAAGAGAAUCAGAACACAGGUGCUGCAUGGCUGUCGUCAGCUCGUGUCGUGAGAUGUUGGGUUAAGUCCCGCAACGAGCGCAACCCUUGUCAUUAGUUGCUACGAAAGGGCACUCUAAUGAGACUGCCGGUGACAAACCGGAGGAAGGUGGGGAUGACGUCAAGUCCUCAUGGCCCUUAUGGGUAGGGCUUCACACGUCAUACAAUGGUACAUACAGAGGGCCGCCAACCCGCGAGGGGGAGCUAAUCCCAGAAAGUGUAUCGUAGUCCGGAUUGUAGUCUGCAACUCGACUACAUGAAGUUGGAAUCGCUAGUAAUCGCGGAUCAGCAUGUCGCGGUGAAUACGUUCCCGGGUCUUGUACACACCGCCCGUCACACCAUGGGAGCGGGUUUCACCAGAAGUGGGUAGCCUAACCGCAAGGAGGGCGCUCACCACGGUGGGAUUCGUGACUGGGGUGAAGUCGUAACAAGGUA
rnacentral:rRNA from 1 species